AGUGAACGCUGGCUGUAGGCCUAACACAUGCAAGUCGAACGGCAGCACAGUAAGAGCUUGCUCUUACGGGUGGCGAGUGGCGGACGGGUGAGGAAUACAUCGGAAUCUACUUUUUCGUGGGGGAUAACGUAGGGAAACUUACGCUAAUACCGCAUACGACCUACGGGUGAAAGCAGGGGAUCUUCGGACCCUGCGCGAUUGAAUGAGCCGAUGUCGGAUUAGCUAGUUGGCGGGGUAAAGGCCCACCAAGGCGACGAUCCGUAGCUGGUCUGAGAGGAUGAUCAGCCACACUGGAACUGAGACACGGUCCAGACUCCUACGGGAGGCAGCAGUGGGGAAUAUUGGACAAUGGGCGCAAGCCUGAUCCAGCCAUACCGCGUGGGUGAAGAAGGCCUUCGGGUUGUAAAGCCCUUUUGUUGGGAAAGAAAAGCAGCAGGUUAAUACCCCGCUGUUCUGACGGUACCCAAAGAAUAAGCACCGGCUAACUUCGUG
rnacentral:rRNA from 1 species